UACGUAGGGUGCAAGCGUUGUCCGGAAUUAUUGGGCGUAAAGAGCUUGUAGGCGGUUUGUCGCGUCUGCUGUGAAAUUUCGGGGCUCAACCCCGAACUUGCAGUGGGUACGGGCAGACUAGAGUGUGGUAGGGGAGACUGGAAUUCCUGGUGUAGCGGUGAAAUGCGCAGAUAUCAGGAGGAACACCAAUGGCGAAGGCAGGUCUCUGGGCCAUAACUGACGUGAGAAGCGAAAGCAUGGGGAGCGAACAGG
rnacentral:rRNA from 1 species